UACGAAGGGGGCUAGCGUUGCUCGGAAUCACUGGGCGUAAAGGGUGCGUAGGCGGGUCUUUAAGUCAGGGGGUGAAAUCCUGGAGCUCAACUCCAGAACUGCCUUUGAUACUGAGGAUCUUGAGUUCGGGAGAGGUGAGUGGAACUGCGAGUGUAGAGGGUGAAAUUCGUAGAUAUUCGCAAGAACACCAGUGGCGAAGGCGGCUCACUGGCCCGAUACUGACGCUGAGGCACGAAAGCGUGGGGAGCAAACAGG
rnacentral:rRNA from 1 species